AGAGCUCAACGUUCCCUAAGUGAGUGGCCUUUGACAGCAGUGCCAGGCAGCCCAGUGGGUGCAGGGCACACCACAGAUGGAGGAAGGGCCAGGCAUGCUUCCCAGACAGCCUCUGCCAGUCCAGGCAGGGGCUCCAGGGUGGCUGCGGGAAGGCAGCUUAGGCGGUGCCCGGCCCAAGGUGAGUUGGCAUCAUGCUCCACUUCCCGUUUGAACGUGUGGUCCCGUUUGAACCUUCUGGAAAGGCUUGGCAGGGAGGACACUCAUUUUGUAGACUGGGAAGGAACUGAAGAGCUGGCUUCCGGCGACCAGCGAUGGGCCCCAGAUCCCUGUGGCCAGGAAGGCCCCCAUUGCUGUUCUCUGUAGCUCAGGCUGGACAUUUGCUGGUGAGAACUGGCCGGACUCCCAGGACCCAGCCGCCAGAGACCUCUGUUCCUCACGCUCAGCCCCCUAGCUCCAACUGGGGCCCCUUUGCUUUACAGGAUGUAGGCUUGGAGUUAGAGGGGGCAGUUCUGGCGGUUUAUCUCUCACUCACAGAAACUCGGCUGUGAGAGGCCAGAGCUGGACUUGGGGGGCAGAGCCUGUAGAGGUCAAUGUGUCCUUAUUGGGUGUGCACACGUGUGAGUCUGUGUGCACACACAUGUAUACAUGUGUAUGCGUGUGUGUGUGUGUGUGUGCGCGCGUGUGGCAGUCAGAGAAGGCUGGGCAGACACUGUUAUUUCAGAAAAGAUGUGGAGGCCUUUCUGAAGGCAUCCACUGAGAGGCAGGGGCCAGGAUCUCUGUGCCCAGGCGCUGGGCGUGGCCCCUGAGAAGUGCUCUCUCCCCUAAUCCUUCAAAGCAGGAGGUAUUUGCUUCACUUUCUAAGGCAGGAUCUGCGGCUCUGAGAGGUUGCACAACUUGCCCGAGGUCACUCAGCUAGUAGAAGGCAGGACUGGCCUCCGGUCCAGGGUGACUGUGAGGAUGUCAGGGGACCCUGCAGGCCUGUGCGCCCCAGCUUAGGGCUACAGGUCCCACCUAAGGCUUCUUGAUGGAGGUUGGAGGGGCGAGCUGGAGGGAGGUGCUGCUGGGGGUCCACCGGUCCCCUUCCUGGGGGAUGAAGCCGGUUUCCCGCGCUGACCCCCUUGCCAUCAGAGGCCCAGAGCGCGGUCCUUGUGCUGCUGAGCUGUGUUUGGGGCCGCCUGUGGGCUGUGGCCGCCUGUCCUCAUCUUCUCCCCUUUUCUCCUUGGCUUUUCAUCCUCAGGCUCCGUCCUUCUUCCCCGUGGUGGCCCCAGCCUCCCUGCCAAGCUUCCCGGCCCCCGCCCCAUCCCGGGCCUGCUGCUGCGGAGACCGUGGGCCGGCGCUGGACGGCGCGGCCUCCAGAAGUGAUAGCUAAUUGGGGAGAGAAAGGGCCCAAUUGUCUGGCGGGGCCGGAAGAGCCGCGUGGGCUGCUGAAAGCGUCGGGAGGAGGUGGCCGCUUCGCCCAGCAGCUGCCGCCGGGGAUGUUUGCAGAUUACGUCAGCGCUGGCGAGCAGGGGGCGCGGGGACAGCGAGGGGGGCGGGCUCCCGGCGGCCUCCCGCCCCCCAGGCCCCUGGACAAUGCUGUCAUUGUCAGCACGGAGAGUGGUUAAUUCUGGAUGAAUGGUACACGGGCCUCUUGACCAAGGAGGCUGCUCGUCGUCCCCAGUCUGUCCUCUCACAUGCCAGGGAGGCCCCGGGCUGGAGUCUGGCGGGCAGAUCUGGCCUGCUUGGUGGCACCAGAGAGAACAGGGCGGUCCCUUGGGGGCGCCGGCUGCAGAGGCCCCAGGCUGGACGGAGCUUCCUGUCCUGGGUCUGCACAGCAGCCACUUGGCAGUGCCGGGCUAGGGUGGCAGGGCCCCACUGCAUCUCGGUUCCAGGGCAGAGGCUGCUGCUGCCCUUUGGGGCUGACUUCAGGCAUGACCUCCUGGCCAGGUGGCAGCUUUGGCCCUGACCCGCUCCUGGCCCUGCUGGUGGUGAUCCUGCUAGCACGCCUCAUCCUGUGGUCCUGCCUCGGGACCUACAUCGACUACAGACUGGCCCAGCGGCGGCCCCAGAAACCCAAGCAGGACUAAGCCUCUGCAGGCUGCGGCCUCCACGCGCCCUGUCCCGAGACUCAGCCGGCCCUUCCAGUGGUGGUGGGAGGGAGGGGAGCAGGGCAGGCGCAUGAUCCCCAUGUCCCACCCCUGGGGCAGGAGCUCAGAGAGGCCUGAGAUGGAUCGUGCCUUCCCAGACUGACCAGGGCUGUCCCGUAGAGGCAGCUGGCCAUGUGGGGAGAUGGAGGGGCCGGCCUUGCAGGUCCAUCACCAGGUUCUGGGGUCCCCGGUUGCAGGGAGUGGUCCUGGGGGUGGGUCUUGCUUUAAGACCUUCUCUGCCUCCAAUUCCUUAUAAAUAUGCCUGCAGGAAGAGCUGGGUAAGCCAGAGGACUCAGGUGGAGGUGCCACAGAGACAAAUGUGACCUCAUCACAAGCUGGCCCUGUUACCAAAGGCCACGUCCUGUCUCAGCUCACCACCCUCAUAACUAGUCUCCUCCUGCCUCCCAAGGGACGAGAUAAGUGCCGAUGGCUGUCCUGAUUUCUCCAGAGCAGACCCCUGGGAAGGGUCUCAGGACGCACUUGUGAGGCUGAGUUGACAAGCCAGACGCACUUGGCUCUGGUUGACCCUCUGCACACUCUCUAACGGUCUGAACAGUUAGGGCACAAUGAUCCCUGCCUCCCUCCCUCAGCAGGAUAUCAUGUAGGGGACAAUUUAGGGGACAAGCCAAGGCACCCAUCAAUGCCCUCUGUUCAUCUGUUCCUGCAAGUGUGUGGCUGGGAAGUGCCCAGGAAGGCUGACAGGGCAGGGAAGUUGAUUUGAGGCCAAGCAUCCAGUGCUCCUGCUCCACCUCCGUAGCACGUUAGCCGUGAUGCCAGUGACUUAACCCACAGCUUGGGGAAGCUCAAAGGCUCCACAUUCGAGCCUCUUGGGGGAAAUUCGGCAAACACCCAUGUCCAAGUUCCACACUGUAUUUCCUGGGAUCGUUCCAGCAGAUCGUGGAUUGCAGCGAGGGCUGCUGACUGCAUGCGGAACUGUGAGAUGGAAGGGACUGUGGGCGGCAGCUCCAGGGAGGAGCAUCGAACCAGAUAUCGUCUCUGGGAGGCUGGGCCUGGUGAUGUGGCAACGUCUUGCUCCCUGAGAGGUGAUGGGUAUGCUAGGGAUGCUCGCUCAGGGAACGUGGGCCAAGUCCUCUGAACACGAAGCUCGCAGAGGGGGUGAUUCCUGUGAAUUCUGAAAGGACUUGGGGGCGUCCAGCAAGAGCAGGAGCUUAGAUGGUGGUUCCAGGGCUGGUGUUGCUGACUGGGACGAGUGGACCCCCAGGGUGGGCAUGGAGUGGGGCACUGGCUGGGAGCCUCUGCCUUGCUGUGUCCUGGCUGAAUGAACCCAGGACUUGCUGUGCUCAGAUCCUCCAUUCAAGAGAGCUACAGACACGGGGGUGCUGCAAGAAGUCUGGCAUUUGGCAUUCCCAGGCUGUGGCGUGACAGCUUUGUGAAGUUAUCAGGGUCUCAGACCCUGACAUAUUUCUGCUCUGCUACCCUCAGCAUGUAGAUUUGAUCUUCACGGCUACAAGAAACCUGCUGCUACUGCAGGCAUCUUACACGAGUUCCAGGCAGGAAGAGAAAGGAAAGGGUGACAGAGACAGAAAGCAAUGUCCCCAGAUACCCUUAGUUUUCCAUCUCAUAAGCCAGAAUGAUGUCACGUGGCAUCCCUGGAUGCACAGGAGGCUGAGAGAUAGUGGCGUUUGUUAGCUGGUCUCCUAGCCAUCCUGAAUGCCAAGUUUGUUAUAAAGAAACAGAGGCAAAAUGGCGAUCAGGCAGGCAACUGGGUGGUCUCUGCCACGGGCCCCUUGGCCAUUCUUUGUAAUGAUGGUCUUUGUCUUGGACCCUAUUUUGGAUAUUUGGGCACCUUUGUGGUACCCUUAUGUGCUGGUUUUGCUGUUGUCUGCCCUUCAGGAAUAGCAGCUGAGUCAAGCUGUCCUUGGCUGCUCCAAUCUGGAGUCAGAGGUUGGAGAUUUCCAUGGCUCCCCAUGGCUCCUUGGGGCCUCCUAAGAAAAUGUUUUAAUAAGGAAGUCCAAGGCUGAGACAGACAUGCUCCUUCUUAGAGACACAUGGGAACAUGCCUCUGCUCACAGCUGGUAGCCACAGAUGUAAACCGUAGCCCAUGGAACGGAGACAGUGAAGAAUUGAUGGAUAAAUGAAUAAUGAUGAUGGACAGCAGAUGUAUAAAAGGCAUAAAAGGAUAGUGUUAGGGCUGGAAUGUCUUCCCCCCAAUUCAUAUGUUGAACCUUUAAUGCCUAAUACUUCAGAAAGAGACUGUGUUUGAAGAUAUGGUCUUUACAGAGGGAAUAAAGUUAAAAUAAGGUCAUUAGGGUGAGCCCUAAUCCAAAGGAUGGGUGUCCUAAUCAGAGGAGGAGAUUAGGACCCAGACACACACACACACACAGAGCCAGGUGAGGACACAGGGAGAAAAUGGCCACGUACAAGCCAAGAUGAGAGGACUCAGGAAGAACCAGCCGACUCCACCCUUCAAAACUGUGAGAACAUAGAUGUCUGCUGUUUGAGCCACCCUGUCUGCAAGCAGUCAGCAAGCAUUCAUUGAGUGCUUGCAGUAUUCAAGGCACCACAGAUACAAUGUUGAAUAAGGCAAAGCACCUGCCCUCAGGUAGCUUGCAGUCAGGGAGGUAAGGGUAGUGGGCAGAGAGACCUGGAAACAGAUAUUAGACCUGCACUAAGCAUGUGUGGUUAUUGAACAGUAAAAAUGCCACCACAAAUUGCGAUAUGAUGUAAGUAAAAUGCGUACUGGCUAUUGAAGACUUGGCACAGAAAAAUAAUGUAAAAUCUCAUUAGUAAUGGUUUUAUAUUGAUUACGCAUUGAAAUAAUACUAUUUUGGACAGAUUGGGUUAAAUAAAAUAUUAAAUUUGAUUUCGCCUGUUUCUUUUAUUUUCAUUACUUAUUGGCCAUGAUAUUUUAUUUAACUUUUAACUUUUAUUUUAGAUUCAGUGGUACAUGUGCAUGUUUGUUAUACAGGUAAACUCAUGGGGGUUUGGUGUACAGAUUCUUUGUCACCUGAGUACUAAACUUAGUACCCAAGAAUUAUUUUAUCUGAUCCUCUCCCUCCUCCCACCUUCCACCCUCAAGUAGGCCCCAGUGUUUGUUGUUCCCCUUUAUGUGACCAUGUGUUCUCACAAGUGAGAACAUGUGGUAUUUGGUUGUCUGUUCCUGUGUUAGUUUGCUAUGGACAAUGGCCUCCAGCUCCACCCAUGUUCCUGCAAAGGACAUGAUCUUAUUCUUUUUUAUGGCUGAAUAGUAUCCCAUGGUGUAUAUGUACCACUUUUUCCUUAUCCAGUCUACCAUUGAUGGGCAUUUAGGUUGAUUCACCUAUUCCUUUUAAUAGGUCUUAAUAUGGC
rnacentral:lncRNA from 1 species